UACAGAGGUCUCAAGCGUUGUUCGGAUUCAUUGGGCGUAAAGGGUGCGUAGGCGGCGCGGUAAGUCGGGUGUGAAAUCUCGGGGCUUAACUCCGAAACUGCAUUCGAUACUGUCGUGCUUGAGGACUGGAGAGGAGACUGGAAUUUACGGUGUAGCGGUGAAAUGCGUAGAUAUCGUAAGGAAGACCAGUGGCGAAGGCGGGUCUCUGGACAGUUCCUGACGCUGAGGCACGAAGGUCAGGGGAGCAAACGGG
rnacentral:rRNA from 1 species